GAUGAACGCUGGCGGCGUGCCUAAUACAUGCAAGUCGAGCGAACGGACGAGAAGCUUGCUUUUCUGAUGUUAGCGGCGGACGGGUGAGUAACACGUGGAUAACCUACCUAUAAGACUGGGAUAACUUCGGGAAACCGGAGCUAAUACCGGAUAAUAUUUUGAACCGCAUGGUUCAAAAGUGAAAGACGGUCUUGCUGUCACUUAUAGAUGGAUCCGCGCUGCAUUAGCUAGUCGGUAAGGUAACGGCUUACCAAGGCAACGAUGCAUAGCCGACCUGAGAGGGUGAUCGGCCACACUGGAACUGAGACACGGUCCAGACUCCUACGGGAGGCAGCAGUAGGGAAUCUUCCGCAAUGGGCGAAAGCCUGACGGAGCAACGCCGCGUGAGUGAUGAAGGUCUUCGGAUCGUAAAACUCUGUUAUUAGGGAAGAACAUAUGUGUAAGUAACUGUGCACAUCUUGACGGUACCUAAUCAGAAAGCCACGGCUAACCACGUG
rnacentral:rRNA from 1 species